rnacentral:rRNA from 1 species
GGGUUGUGAGGUUAAGCGACUAAGCGUACACGGUGGAUGCCCUGGCAGUCAGAGGCGAUGAAGGACGUGCUAAUCUGCGAUAAGCGUCGGUGAGGUGAUAUGAACCGUUAUAACCGGCGAUUUCCGAAUGGGGAAACCCAGUGUGUUUCGACACACUAUCAUUAACUGAAUCCAUAGGUUAAUGAGGCGAACCGGGGGAACUGAAACAUCUAAGUACCCCGAGGAAAAGAAAUCAACCGAGAUUCCCUCAGUAGCGGCGAGCGAACGGGGAGGAGCCCAGAGCCUGAAUCAGUGUGUGUGUUAGUGGAAGCGUCUGGAAAGGCGCGCGAUACAGGGUGACAGCCCCGUACACAAAAAUGCACAUAUUGUGAGCUCGAUGAGUAGGGCGGGACACGUGGUAUCCUGUCUGAAUAUGGGGGGACCAUCCUCCAAGGCUAAAUACUCCUGACUGACCGAUAGUGAACCAGUACCGUGAGGGAAAGGCGAAAAGAACCCCGGCGAGGGGAGUGAAAAAGAACCUGAAACCGUGUACGUACAAGCAGUGGGAGCCUCUUAAUGGGGUGACUGCGUACCUUUUGUAUAAUGGGUCAGCGACUUAUAUUCUGUAGCAAGGUUAACCGAAUAGGGGAGCCGAAGGGAAACCGAGUCUUAACUGGGCGUUAAGUUGCAGGGUAUAGACCCGAAACCCGGUGAUCUAGCCAUGGGCAGGUUGAAGGUUGGGUAACACUAACUGGAGGACCGAACCGACUAAUGUUGAAAAAUUAGCGGAUGACUUGUGGCUGGGGGUGAAAGGCCAAUCAAACCGGGAGAUAGCUGGUUCUCCCCGAAAGCUAUUUAGGUAGCGCCUCGUGAAUUCAUCUCCGGGGGUAGAGCACUGUUUCGGCAAGGGGGUCAUCCCGACUUACCAACCCGAUGCAAACUGCGAAUACCGGAGAAUGUUAUCACGGGAGACACACGGCGGGUGCUAACGUCCGUCGUGAAGAGGGAAACAACCCAGACCGCCAGCUAAGGUCCCAAAGUCAUGGUUAAGUGGGAAACGAUGUGGGAAGGCCCAGACAGCCAGGAUGUUGGCUUAGAAGCAGCCAUCAUUUAAAGAAAGCGUAAUAGCUCACUGGUCGAGUCGGCCUGCGCGGAAGAUGUAACGGGGCUAAACCAUGCACCGAAGCUGCGGCAGCGACACUAUGUGUUGUUGGGUAGGGGAGCG